UCCGGGCGUCGGCCUGUGGGCU
rnacentral:siRNA from 1 species